UGCAAGUCGUGCGAGAAAGUAUCUUCGGAUAUGAGUAGAGCGGCGGACGGGUGAGUAACGCGUAGGAAUCUACCUAGUAGAAAGGGAUAGCCCGGGGAAACCCGGAUUAAUACCGUAUACCUCCUUCGGGAGAAAGAAGGCCUCUCUUUGAAGCUUUCGCUAUUAGAUGAGCCUGCGUAAGAUUAGCUUGUUGGUGAGGUAAAGGCUCACCAAGGCGACGAUCUUUAGCUGGUCUGAGAGGACGAUCAGCCACAUUGGGACUGAGACACGGCCCAGACUCCUACGGGAGGCAGCAGUGGGGAAUAUUGGACAAUGGGCGCAAGCCUGAUCCAGCCAUACCGCGUGUGUGAAGAAGGCCUUCGGGUUGUAAAGCACUUUAAGCAGGGAGAAAAAGUUAUAAGUUAAUACCUUAUAACCUUGAUGUUACCUGCAGAAUAAGCACCGGCUAAUUCCGUGCCAGCAGCCGCGGUAAUACGGAAGGUGCAAGCGUUAAUCGGAAUUACUGGGCGUAAAGCGCGCGUAGGUGGUUUGUUAAGUUGGAUGUGAAAGCCCUGGGCUCAACCUAGGAACUGCAUCCAAAACUAACUCACUAGAGUACGAUAGAGGGAGGUAGAAUUCAUAGUGUAGCGGUGGAAUGCGUAGAUAUUAUGAAGAAUACCAGUGGCGAAGGCGGCCUCCUGGAUCUGUACUGACACUGAGGUGCGAAAGCGUGGGUAGCGAACAGGAUUAGAUACCCUGGUAGUCCACGCCGUAAACGAUGACAACUAGCUGUUGGAAGACAAAGUCUUUCAGUGGCGCAGCUAACGUUUUAAGUUGUCCGCCUGGGGAGUACGGCCGCAAGGCUAAAACUCAAAUGAAUUGACGGGGACCCGCACAAGCGGUGGAGCAUGUGGUUUAAUUCGAUGCAACGCGAAAAACCUUACCUACUCUUGACAUACUUGGGAGCUCUUGUAAUGAGAGUGUGCCUUUUGGAA
rnacentral:rRNA from 1 species